UUCCCCCUUCGGGGGGACGAGGGUGGACAGGUGGUGCAUGGUUGUCGUCAGCUCGUGUCGUGAGAUGUUGGGUUAAGUCCCGCAACCGAGCGCAACCCUCGACCUUAGUUGCUAGCAUUCAGUUGGGCACUCUAAGGUGACUGCCGGCUAAAAGUCGGAGGAAGGUGGGGAUGACGUCAAAUCAUCAUGCCCCUUAUGACCUGGGCUACACACGUGCUACAAUGGGCGGUACAAAGGGUCGCGAACCCGCGAGGGGGGAGCCAAUCCCAAAAAGCCGCUCUCAGUUCGGAUUGCAGGCUGCAACUCGCCUGCAUGAAGCCGGAAUCGCUAGUAAUCGCGGAUCAGCAUGCCGCGGUGAAUACGUUCCCGGGCCUU
rnacentral:rRNA from 1 species